GCAGCUGUAGUAGAACACCUGAAAAGCGUGACCGAAUGAACGAUACUCAUCUGUAUUUGCAGUACACAAGCCGCGGUUCAGCUGCGCGCGAUAAACGCUGCCAGUGUGAAAGCACAAUGGGCGCGCGCUACUCACGCUCUGCAUACGCGCCGCUUCUGCGCUGCCUCUGCUCUGCUUAUGCGUGCGGUGUGAGGGAGCUCGUUCACGGAGAUGGUCUGCAUCAGGUUCUCUUUCCUCCAGCAGAGGGCCCCGGGCUCCUGACAGCAGCAGCAGCGGCUCCAGUCCAGCUGGUCGCAGUAAUGCACCAAAAGCUGCUUCACCAACCUCCGAGAAAACCCACGAGAAAAAAACCAUGCGGCAUCAUUCUUGAGAGACACGGAUCUGAAUAAAUGAAUCUGGUUUCGAAGCGUUUGAUGGACGUUAUGCGUUUUGAAUUGGGAAGAUGAAGUGAGAGAAUAACCAAAAACAUCGUGAAAACAGAACAGACAGAAAAGUGUGAGGAGGAAAUUGUGAGACCGCAGGGUAAGAAGAAAAUACUGCCCAACAAACUGCAGCUUGAUCUUCAAGAAAGCAAGAACAAGAAAAUGAAGAAGAAAGAGAAAAGGCCAAAAUCUAAAGGGUCAAGAAAUACAAAUUCAGUGAAAGCUGUGAGAUGGGACAGCAUGGAGAGGCUGGGACCAAACUUCUUUAUCAGGUAUGAUUUUGAUGAAUCGGAGAGGUCCAGGAUAAAACAUCAGGACCUUAAACUCCAGAAUGUGACGGGGGUUCUGUCACCAUCCCACCUGUCACCAACCUCCUUCAGUUUUUACAAAUUUUGUGUGUCCUUCAUGGCUGUACAUUUGGAGCAUCGCUGAUUUUGAAUUUGAGUUCUUUUACUGUAUUUAUUGCACUUCAUUUUCUGCACUUUUAACACUUUUCUUUUGUUGAGAGCGAAGUGUUUUGAAUUACAGACGUAACUGCAUUAUUUUCAAGCCCUGUGUUGGGAACCGUUGUUUUUAAAUCUAUUUUAUUUACAUCUUUUAACUGUUGUUGAACUUAGUUCUUGAUGCUAAUGAAGUUUAUUCACUAAUUGCUUUAUGUGCAAUCAUAUUUUAGCAAAAUAUUAUAUACUGUAUGUUGUUAUAUCACUGUUUUACAUUGUAAUUGAUAUUCUUUCUUCUGACUGAACUUAAUUUUCCUAAAAGGUGUCAAACAUACAAGUGUUGGUUUAUGAAAGGUGUACAUAAGCUUAAAAAAUGUAUACCAAGGUUAUUUGUGACAUUUUUAUUAUUCUUAAAGAGACACUGCAAAGUGUUUUACCUGCCAUUUAUCUUUUAGAAAUGUUUCUGUGAACACUUUAGUUCUCAUUACUUGUUAUUAUUAUAUAACCUAUUCCAUAUAAACCAAAAUUCAAAUCUUGGUUUGGCUUAACUUGACUAAAAUCCUGCAACUUGAGAUUUGAAUGCAGGGUUUUGAUAUGGUGACUUCAAGUGAUACAAGAUUUAAACUGUGAACCAUAUCAACUUUUUAAUCAAGGUUCAAAGACACUCUUUGGCUCAACAU